rnacentral:rRNA from 1 species
UACGAAGGGGGCUAGCGUUGCUCGGAAUCACUGGGCGUAAAGGGUGCGUAGGCGGGUCUUUAAGUCAGGGGUGAAAUCCUGGAGCUCAACUCCAGAACUGCCUUUGAUACUGAGAUCUUGAGUUCGGGAGAGGUGAGUGGAACUGCGAGUGUAGAGGUGAAAUUCGUAGAUAUUCGUCAAGAACACCAGUGGCGAAGGCGGCUCACUGGCCCGAGUACUGACGCUGAGGCACGAAAGCGUGGG